rnacentral:lncRNA from 1 species
GUGGCUUUGGAAAGCUCAGCUUCCUCUUAUUGUUCAUCUGAAGCUGAGCGACAUCGCUUCUUGUGAUAUUUUCUAAUAAUUCCACCUUUUCCCUCUGGUCCACAGCCGAAGCAGAUCGGAGAUGAUUUCUGCGGUUUGGUACUGAACCAGCCACUCGGAGGCCUGAGGGUGAUCGAGGGACAGCCGCUGUACGAGGACCGGACUGAGGGCAUGGGCGCCGUGGCCGCAUACACCUACGGGGAGCACACGGUGGUGUUCGUGGGAACCCGGAGUGGACAGCUCAAGAAGGGUUUUUAUUCUCAGGCAGGAGAGAUAAACAGCACGGAGACAGGAAGCAGGACUGAUGCAGGAUUAAAGCAAAUGUGAGCAGUGACAGUUCAGGACGGGGCCGGUGUCUCCGCACAGAUGCUCUCAGCCUUGUUGAAGUUGUAAAGUUGUCUCAGCGGUGUCGGACAACCUCACAGAAAGCUGCAGAGACGCUCAGACUGUCUGCUGCUGUCAGAAAAAUGCCCCACUUAGCUGCACAAGAUGUCUGUUUUCUGUCUCCUUCAGGGCUCGGCAGUCGGUUAAAGACUCGCCGUUUCCCACAGCACAAACUCUGUCCUCUCUGGAGGAUUUAAGACUUUGCUGAGCGGCAGAAAGCUUCCCUACACUCUUUGGGUAAAACUAACAACCUAAACCAAGUGAAAAGGACAGAACAGACGUGUAAAGUGGACCGUAAGCUUGACUGCGCUCUGACAUUGACUCCAGUGCAAAAUUUCAUCCAGUAAAGCACAAGUAGAAUUUACAAGUCUCAGACUGUCUGAGAGUCAAACGAGUGCGUCUGGCAAGGAGCACCUUCGCAAAAACAAAUAAAGGAUUAUCUUAGAAAAGGAAAAAAGGAAAAGAUGUUCAAAAACACGAAGUUCUUUGGAGAUGUUAAAGAUGAUGUUCUAGAAGUUUGUUAUGAGCAAGAACCUACGAGAGCCCAAGUUCUCCAGGUUCUUUUUAGGGUGUUAAAAUAUUUCUAGGCAUCUUUUAAGAUACCUUUAGGACCUUUAUUCUUUUAGGACUUUGAGAUGGUUAAACAUGUAUCAAAUCAUCUGUGAAAUAAUCCAUCCUACAAAGAAAUAUCUUACUAGUUGUUUAACGACCUGUGUGCAUUCGACCAGUUAAAGCCACCACAAUACAGUCUCUAAAAGCUUUCGUUGGUUACUGGGAAAUUUAUUUUCCUUUUUCCUUUAAGAGGUCCUCCUAAAAUUCUCAGGAGCCAGGACCUCCAAGGAUACCCUGGUAAUCCUGGUAAUCAGUCUGGAUGCUCUAGAGAUUGUUUUUGGGACCUGGGAAGAGCAGAAAACUUAAGUUCUUUAGGUUCCUAUUGUUGAUA